rnacentral:rRNA from 1 species
UACCAGCACCCCGAGUGGUCGGGACGUUUAUUGGGCUUAAAGCAUCCGUAGCCGGUUCUACAAGUCUUCCGUUAAAUCCAACUGCUUAACAGGUGGGCUGCGGAAGAUACUAUAGAGCUAGGAGGCGGGAGAGGCAAGCGGUACUCGAUGGGUAGGGGUAAAAUCCGUUGAUCCAUUGAAGACCACCAGUGGCGAAGGCGGCUUGCCAGAACGCGCUCGACGGUGAGGGAUGAAAGCUGGGGGAGCAAACCGG